AGUGAACGCUGGCGGCGUGCCUAACACAUGCAAGUCGAGCGGUCCUUGAGUAGCAAUACUCAAGGAUAGCGGCGAACGGGUGAGUAACACGUGGGUAAUCUUCCCUCGAGUGAGGAAUAAGCUCUCGAAAGGGGGUCUAAUACCGCAUAACAUUCCGAGACGUUAUGUCUUCGGAAUCAAAGCCGAAAGGCGCUUGAGGAUGAGCCUGCGGCCUAUUAGCUUGUUGGUAGGGUAAAGGCCUACCAAGGCUAGGAUGGGUAGCCGGCCUGAGAGGGUGUACGGCCACACUGGAACUGAGACACGGACCAGACUCCUACGGGAGGCAGCAGUGAGGAAUAUUGGUCAAUGGGCGGAAGCCUGAACCAGCCAUGCCGCGUGCGGGAUGAAGGCCCUACGGGUUGUAAACCGCUUUUGUACGAGAAGAACAGCUCUUCGUGAAGAGCCUUGACGGUAUCGUAAGAAUAAGGAUCGGCUAACUCCGUGCCAGCAGCCGCGGUAAACU
rnacentral:rRNA from 1 species